rnacentral:rRNA from 1 species
UACGUAGGGUGCGAGCGUUAAUCGGAAUUACUGGGCGUAAAGCGUGCGCAGGCGGUUUGUUAAGACAGAUGUGAAAUCCCCGGGCUUAACCUGGGAACUGCAUUUGUGACUGGCAAGCUAGAGUAUGGCAGAGGGGGGUAGAAUUCCACGUGUAGCAGUGAAAUGCGUAGAGAUGUGGAGGAAUGACCGAUGGCCGAAGG